AGCACUCCACAGAGCCUGAUUGAGCUAUCUUUAUGGCCAUUGAAAUGAAUUGUUCUCAUCCUCCCAUUCUGCCAGGGGAAGUCUUCACAUACUUGGGGUAGACAUGCCCUAGCAGGCCAACAGGUACCAGCACCAUAUUUGUAUCAUAAAAAGAAUUUGUUCCUCUUGAGGAUAAAUGUUAAGAGAGAGUUGAAAAGGAGAGGGACUAUGUGCACAUAGCAGCAUGGUGUGGAGUUGGCCGGGAAGUAAUGAGGAAGAGAAGAUGGAAGUUCACCUAUCGGAGC